rnacentral:tRNA from 1 species
AGGAACUUAGGAUUAAAUUAAACCAGUGACCUUCAAAGCCACUAAAAAGAGAUAACCUCUUAGUCCCU